rnacentral:rRNA from 1 species
CCUACGGGAGGCAGCAGUAAGGAAUCUUCCACAAUGGACGAAAGUCUGAUGGAGCAACGCCGCGUGCAGGAUGAAGGCUUUCGGGUCGUAAACUGCUUUUAUAUGGGAAGAUUAUGACGGUACCAUAUGAAUAAGGACCGGCUAACUACGUGCCAGCAGCCGCGGUAAUACGUAGGGUCCAAGCGAUAUCCGGAAUUACUGGGCGUAAAGCGUGUGUAGGUGGAUUAAUAAGUGUGAUGCGAAAUCCGGCGGCUCAACCGUUUGGACUGUGUCGCAUACUGUUAGUCUAGAGGACGGCAGAGGUAAGUGGAAUUACGGGUGUAGCAGUGAAAUGCGUAGAUAUCCGUAGGAACACCAAUGGCGAAGGCAGCUUACUGGGCCACACCUGACACUGAGACACGAAAGCGUGGGGAGCGAACAGGAUUAGAUACCCUGGUAGUCCACGCCGUAAACGAUGCAUACUAUUAGUAUGGGGUAUCGACCCCCUGUGCUGAGAAGCUAACGCGAUAAGUAUGCCGCCUGGGGAGUACGAGCGCAAGCUUAAAACUCAAAGGAAUUGACGGCUGAGACGNGCGACGACGACGACGAGGGAGGAGG